GCUGGGGGUCCAAGAGGAGAGGUUUGGGAACGGCUGGGGGUCCAAGAGGAGAGGUUUGGGAAUGGCUGGGGGUCCAAGAGGAGAGGUUUGGGAAUGGCUGGGGGUCCAAGAGGAGAGGUUUGGGAACGGCUGGGGGUCCAAGAGGAGAGGUUUGGGAAUGGCUGGGGGUCCAAGAGGAGAGGUUUGGGAACGGCUGGGGGUCCCCGAGGAGAGGUUUGGGAACGGCUGGGGGUCCAAGAGGAGAGGUUUGGGAACGGCUGGGGGUCCAAGAGGAGAGGUUUGGGAACGGCUGGGAGUCCCCGAGGAGAGGUUUGGGAACAGCUGGGCGUCCCCGAGGAGAGGUUUGAGAACGGCUGGGGGUCCCCGAGAAGAGGUUUGGGAACGGCUGGGGGUUCCCGAGGAGAGGUUUGGGAAUGGCUGGGGGUCCACGAGGAGAGGUUUGGGAAU
ensembl:lncRNA